GAUUAACGCUAGCGGCAGGCCUAAUACAUGCAAGUCGAACGGGAUUCAAAGUAGCAAUAUUUUGAUGAGAGUGGCGCACGGGUGAGUAACACGUAUGCAAUUUACCUUUAACUGGGGGAUAGCCCUCCGAAAGGAGGAUUAAUACCGCAUAAUAUAUUGAAAUGGCAUCAUUUUAAUAUUAAACCUACGGGGGUUAAAGAUGAGCAUGCAUCCGAUUAGCUAGUUGGUGUGGUAACGGCUCACCAAGGCAACGAUCGGUAGGGGGUCUGAGAGGAUGAUCCCCCACACUGGUACUGAGGCACGGACCAGACUCCUACGGGAGGCAGCAGUAAGGAAUAUUGGACAAUGGAGGCAACUCUGAUCCAGCCAUGCCGCGUGAAGGAUUAAGGCCCUAUGGGUUGUAAACUUCUUUUAGACGGGACAAAACCCCUUUACGUGUAAAGGUUGAUGGUACUGUCAGAAUAAGCAUCGGCUAACUUCGUGCCAGCAGCCGCGGUAAAGUCUGUACU
rnacentral:rRNA from 1 species